rnacentral:rRNA from 1 species
CAGACUAUUAUUCAAACUCACUAACUCGAGAGUGGUAGAGGUAACUGGAAUUUCUUGUGUAGGAGUGAAAUCCGUAGAUAUAAGAAGGAACACCAAUGGCGUAGGCAGGUUACUGGACCAUUUCUGACACUAAGGCACGAAAGCGUGGGGAGCGAACCGGAUUAGAUACCCGGGUAGUCCACGCCGUAAACGAUGGAUACUAGCUGUUGGAGGUAUCGACCCCUUCAGUAGCGAAGCUAACGCGUUAAGUAUCCCGCCUGUGGAGUACGGUCGCAAGACUAAAACAUAAAGGAAUUGACGGGGACCCGCACAAGCGGUGGAGCGUGUUGUUUAAUUCGAUGGUAAACGAAGAACCUUACCCAGGUUUGACAUCCUUGGAAUUUUGCCGAAAGGCGAGAGUGCUUUAUUGAGCCAAGUGACAGGUGUUGCAUGGCCGUCGUCAGCUCGUGUCGUGAGAUGUUUGGUUAAGUCCAUCAACGAGCGCAACCCUUGUGAAUAGUUGUAUUUUUCUAUUCAGACUGCUCUAGUAAUAGGGAGGAAGGAGGGGAUGAUGUCAGGUCAGUAUUACCCUUACACCCUGGGCUAGAAACAUAAUACAAUGGCCGGUACAAUGCGCAGCGAAGCAGCAAUGUGGAGCAAAUCGCAUCAAAGCCGGUCCCAGUUCGGAUAAGAGGCUGAAACUCGCCUCUUUGAAGCCGGAAUCGCUAGUAAUCGCAAGUCAGCAAAUUGCGGUGAAUACGUUCCCGGGUCUUGUACACACCGCCCGUCAAACCAUGAAAGUGACCAACACCCGAAGUCCGAUUCGUCGGCCUAAGGUGGGGGGCAUGAUUGGGGUUAAGUCGUAACAAGGUAUCCGUACCGGAAGGUGCGGAUG